AGAGUUUGAUCAUGGCUCAGAUUGAACGCUGGCGGCAGGCCUAACACAUGCAAGUCGAACGGUAACAGGAAGAAGCUUGCUUCUUUGCUGACGAGUGGCGGACGGGUGAGUAAUGUCUGGGAAACUGCCUGAUGGAGGGGGAUAACUACUGGAAACGGUAGCUAAUACCGCAUAACGUCGCAAGACCAAAGAGGGGGACCUUCGGGCCUCUUGCCAUCGGAUGUGCCCAGAUGGGAUUAGCUAGUAGGUGGGGUAACGGCUCACCUAGGCGACGAUCCCUAGCUGGUCUGAGAGGAUGACCAGCCACACUGGAACUGAGACACGGUCCAGACUCCUACGGGAGGCAGCAGUGGGGAAUAUUGCACAAUGGGCGCAAGCCUGAUGCAGCCAUGCCGCGUGUAUGAAGAAGGCCUUCGGGUUGUAAAGUACUUUCAGCGGGGAGGAAGGGAGUAAAGUUAAUACCUUUGCUCAUUGACGUUACCCGCAGAAGAAGCACCGGCUAACUCCGUGCCAGCAGCCGCGGUAAUACGGAGGGUGCAAGCGUUAAUCGGAAUUACUGGGCGUAAAGCGCACGCAGGCGGUUUGUUAAGUCAGAUGUGAAAUCCCCGGGCUCAACCUGGGAACUGCAUCUGAUACUGGCAAGCUUGAGUCUCGUAGAGGGGGGUAGAAUUCCAGGUGUAGCGGUGAAAUGCGUAGAGAUCUGGAGGAAUACCGGUGGUGAAGGCGGCCCCCUGGACGAAGACUGACGCUCAGGUGCGAAAGCGUGGGGAGCAAACUGGAUUAGAUACCCUGGUAGUCCACGCCGUAAACGAUGUCGACUUGGAGGUUGUGCCCUUGAGGCGUGGCUUCCGGAGCUAACGCGUUAAGUCGACCGCCUGGGGAGUACGGCCGCAAGGUUAAAACUCAAAUGAAUUGACGGGGGCCCGCACAAGCGGUGGAGCAUGUGGUUUAAUUCGAUGCAACGCGAAGAACCUUACCUGGUCUUGACAUCCACAGAACUUUCCAGAGAUGGAUUGGUGCCUUCGGGAACUGUGAGACAGGUGCUGCAUGGCUGUCGUCAGCUCGUGUUGUGAAAUGUUGGGUUAAGUCCCGCAACGAGCGCAACCCUUAUCUUUUGUUGCCAGCGGUCCGGCCGGGAACUCAAAGGAGACUGCCAGUGAUAAACUGGAGGAAGGUGGGGAUGACGUCAAGUCAUCAUGGCCCUUACGACCAGGGCUACACACGUGCUACAAUGGCGCAUACAAAGAGAAGCGACCUCGCGAGAGCAAGCGGACCUCAUAAAGUGCGUCGUAGUCCGGAUUGGAGUCUGCAACUCGACUCCAUGAAGUCGGAAUCGCUAGUAAUCGUGGAUCAGAAUGCCACGGUGAAUACGUUCCCGGGCCUUGUACACACCGCCCGUCACACCAUGGGAGUGGGUUGCAAAAGAAGUAGGUAGCUUAACCUUCGGGAGGGCGCUUACCACUUUGUGAUUCAUGACUGGGGUGAAGUCGUAACAAGGUAACCGUAGGGGAACCUGCGGUUG
rnacentral:rRNA from 1 species